CGGGAGUUAAGUGGUCUGAACAAUUACUACAUAGUUUCUUCUGAGUAACAGGGUUUAAUUGCUGCAUUUCCCUAUUCUUGCUACUGUUGUUCAUUAUGAUUGCAUGUUUCCACUUUUCCAGGAAAUAGAUUGAAAGGCCUCUGGGGCAAGCACUUCUGCUUAUUAAAUGCUCAGGUAGUAACUUGAACAGUGGAUUUCAACUUGAUUUGAGGUGGGACUUCUGGAUAUGCCUGGAAUAUAAAUACUAAAUAAUAAUAAUAGUAAAUAGUGGAAGCAAUACCCACCUGAAAGACACAAAGAGCAUGGGAGAGCUGGAGAAUUCUGAAGAACACUUGGUACAUGGACGAGCAUUUCAUAUGGAGGGGAGAAGACAAAAAUGUGGUGUUAAGGUUUCAUCUACUGUUUUCCUCCACAAAAGGAUAUUUUUAUAGAUCUUUACAUGGCAGGAAUAUUCUACAGCAUUAUUCCACGUCAGUAAGGAAAUAGUUACUUUCCAGGCCACAAAAGUGAAGAAGUUGUCUAUUAACUCAUUUCCAUUCCUGCUUUUUGUUGAGCAAAAGAGCUCAACAGAGAGCCUGGCUUUACCAAGUGCUUUGAAAAAUACACUUUAGACUAGGGGUGCAAUUAUUUCUAUUUCUAGAAAAAAGUAUUUAAAGUAUUUUACUUUCUUAAACUAAAGUGAAAAUGCAUAUCUUCUGAUUAAUCAUGUUAUUAGCAAUGCAGCAGAGUUUGCAUCUGAGCAUUAUGACAGCAUCAACUCAACCCAUUUCCAUGAACAUAUUUCUAACCAUUGAGAUUAAACAGCAUACAUUCAGAUUAAACAGACACAUGGCUUGGGUGAGAGACACCUUCAAUUAAUUUUGACACUGUGGGAUAUAAAUUAGACAGGGUUUUUAGAAAAAGUGAUAGAUAACUUUCAUUAGAUCAACUGAUAGAAAUUAAGAAAACAAAGUUUUUGACUUGACUGACAUCAUUAAUGAGAACUGAGAAGGAGGAAAACCCAAACUAAAUAAAAGUGGGAUGUCCCGGUUUUAGCAUAAUAAAAUUAUUUUAAUCACUUAAACCUCUGGUGAGAAAACAGCUGCUAACAUGAAUGUACAGGGGAUGAAUCAGCAAGAAAACUAUCAGAUUUAAAAAUAAUGUCACUACUCUCUCCAUUCAGAAUGUAGUUCCCAGGAUUACUUUUUAAGCAUGACUUGGAGGUCCCUUGUUAGUCCCUGCUCUGUGCAAGAGAUGGACUAUUUUUUUAAGAAAUAAUUAUUCUCCUGCCCUUUGCUGUGUUUUGUCUGUGAUCUGUUAUCUGUGUCAGCUCAUUGUAGUGAAUAACAGUUAAUGAGUUCCAUCCAUGUCGAUCUCAUGAGGAUGUGUGAUACUUGGUGUAAUAUAUCACAUUUUAAAGAGCAUGAAGAAAACCCAUGGAAAAUAAUUCUUUUGGUCACUGAUAUCAAUUAUGUUAAAUAUUCAUGUCAAUAUUCAUGAGGAUUACUUUGGCUGUGCCAGCAAGGUUUCAUUUUAGUGAGUGUUAGUUUAAGGAGGUCUGCUUUGGAUUGUGAAUUUAAUACUGGAGCUGUUAUUUUGAAAGAGAUGUGGGAAAGCCUUCAAGGAAGUGUAAAUGCUCUAAUUAUCUAGCAAUUUUUUUUAUAUAUGCCAGCAUUGAGUAUAAUGCAAUAGACAUGAAUAUUUUAUCAAUGAGGGCUUCUAUUUUGCAUUAUUAGAUUAAUAGGUGGUAUUUGGGAGGUCAAUUCAAAUGCAAGACCUUCUCCUUGCAAGGCAGUUCUGAGACUUUUUUAGUGUGUCUUGCAUGGUGGGUAAUUUUCUGAAGUCUGUUGACUUGUGGUUUUCUCUAAAAGGUACUUUGUUGUCACGUCUUGCCAGCCGUGUUAUCUAGAAAAGUGAUGGUCAUCUUCUAGUACACAAAAGGCAAUAAAUCCUUAAUUUAGCAGUGGAAGUUUGUGGAGAAGUUUAGGUGAGGUUUAGUGGCACAGUUCUUUAAAAUACUUUCCCAUGAGUAGCUCGUGAACAUGAUGUCAUUACUGGUAUGAGGGAUAAAUUUUUAAAUAUUUUCAAGCUUUGGUUGUUCUCUCCUACUGAUUUCCACAGUUAUUUAUGAGUAGUAGGCACCUUCAUCUGAAAGCCACCAAUUUAGGUGUAUCAAUAUUGUAUUAAAUGAGAUAAAUUAUUGCUCUGGUUUCAAGUUCUUUAUCUUUGACAAAAACUAUCUUGAAUUAAGCCCCUGCACAACCAAGAGACCUCUGGGAGAGAAAUCCCCUAAGAUGUGAAUAUUCAUAAACUGCUUUUUAAGACACUCAAAUGUAAAUGGCACUGUUCU